GAUACUAUUAAACUGACAAGAGUGUAAUGAUGAUGGAGACACAAGCCAGAGAAAGGGGGGACCAAACACCAGGCCAGAAUUCUGCAUGAGUCAGAUCCAGUGGGUGCAGAUCAUCAUACAGAUGGUUCAAGUGUGGAUCCACCUAAUAUUCAAGAUUUUCUGUCCUGGGACACUCGGCUAACCAUCAAGAAAGAACACACUCCAGUGGGCAUCCUUUAUCCAUCCAGACCCUCAUACAGAUGGUUGGAGUUUUGAUUCACCUAAAGUACCAUGCAAGAGCACUCAUUUUCCCUCUUGAGACCAUGGUGUGACCUGCAAGGUCGAAUGGAGACUGUAAACAAGACAAUCUUGGAGUCACCUGCAUUCACUGGUCCAGUUGUUAGUCCAAUUACAGAUGGAGAUUAUAGAAGAGGAUGAUGUCUUUUCUCCAACAUCUUUCUAGACUGA